rnacentral:rRNA from 1 species
ACGGGUGCGGAACACGUACGCAACUUACCCAAAACUGGGGAAUAGCCCGGGGAAACCCGGAUUAAUACCUCGUAACAUAAUGAAGUGGCAUCACUUUAUUAUUAUAGCUCCGGCGGUUUUGGAUGGGCGUGCGCCUGAUUAGGUAGUUGGCGGGGUAACGGCCCACCAAGCCUACGAUCAGUAACUGGUGUGAGAGCACGACCAGUCACACGGGCACUGAGACACGGGCCCGACUCCUACGGGAGGCAGCAGUAAGGAAUAUUGGUCAAUGGACGCAAGUCUGAACCAGCCAUGCCGCGUGAAGGAUGAAGGUCCUCUGGAUUGUAAACUUCUUUUAUAUGGGAAGAAAUCCAUCUUUUCUUGGGUGGUUGACGGUACCAUAGGAAUAAGCACCGGCUAACUCCGUGCCAGCAGCCGCGGUAAUACGGAGGGUGCAAGCGUUAUCCGGAUUCACUGGGUUUAAAGGGUGCGUAGGAGGGCAGGUAAGUCAGUGGUGAAAUCUCCAAGCUUAACUUGGAAACUGCCGUUGAUACUAUCUGUCUUGAAUACCGUGGAGAUGAGCGGAAUAUGUCAUGUAGCGGUGA